GACUAGAGUUUGAUCCUGGCUCAGAGCGAACGUUAGCGGCGCGCUUAACACAUGCAAGUCGCACGAGAAAGGGCUUCGGCCCCGGUACAGUGGCGCACGGGUGAGUUAACACGUGGGUGACCUUCCCUCGAGUGGUGGAUAACCUGCCGAAAGGCGGCUAAUACAGCGUACGAUCCGCGGUCGCACGCGGAUGAAAGCAGGCCUCUGCAUGCACGCCUGCGCUCGAGGAUGGGCCGCGUCCCAUCAGCUAGUUGGCGAGGUAACGGCUCACCAAGGCGACGACGGGUAGCUGGUCUGAGAGGAUGGCCAGCCACACUGGAACUGAGACACGGUCCAGACUCCUACGGGAGGCAGCAGUGGGAAUCUUGCGCAAUGGACGAAAGUCUGACGCAGCGACGCCGCGUGGGCGACGAAGGCCUUCGGGUUGUAAAGCCCUGUGGGGCGGGACGAACACCGUCGGGUCGAACAGGCCCGGUGGCUGACGGUACCGCCUUAGCAAGCACCGGCUAACUCUGUGCCAGCAGCCGCGGUAA
rnacentral:rRNA from 1 species